GUCCACGCCCUAAACGAUGCAUAUUUGGUGUGGGUCAUUCAGUUGAUCCGUGCCGGAGCUAACGCGUUAAAUAUGCCGCCUGGGGAGUACAGUCGCAAGGCUGAAACUCAAAGGAAUUGACGGGGGCCCGCACAAGCGGUGGAGCAUGUGGUUCAAUUCGACGCAACGCGAAGAACCUUACCUGGGCUCGAACGGCUUCUCAACGCCGGUAGAAAUACCGGUAUCCCGCAAGGGAGUGGAGUCGAGGUGCUGCAUGGCUGUCGU
rnacentral:rRNA from 1 species